UUUCCGUAGGUGAACCUGCGGAAGGAUCAUUAAUGAGUUGUCAUGGGGUUCGAUGCUGGCAGCCAAUCUUUGGAUGCAUGUGCUUGCCCUAACAAUCAUCUUCCAAACACCUGUGCACAUUUUUGAGGGAGUCUUGAGUUGAUUGCCGCUCUUGGGUGAUUUUCUCACAUUCCCUUAAAUCAUUAUACGCUAUUAACAAUGUUGAACGUGCUCUGUGCCGCAAGGCUAUUAAUAUAAUACAACUUUUAACAACGGAUCUCUUGGCUCUC
rnacentral:misc_RNA from 1 species